rnacentral:rRNA from 1 species
GUGAGGAAUAUUGGUCAAUGGGCGGGAGCCUGAACCAGCCAAGUCGCGUGAAGGAAGAAGGAUCUAUGGUUCGUAAACUUCUUUUGCAGGGGAAUAAAGUGCAGGACGUGUCCUGUUUUGUAUGUACCCUGAGAAUAAGGAUCGGCUAACUCCGUGCCAGCAGCCGCGGUAAUACGGAGGAUCCGAGCGUUAUCCGGAUUUAUUGGGUUUAAAGGGUGCGUAGGUGGUUUGAUAAGUCAGCGGUGAAAGGUUGCAGCUUAACUGUAAAAAUGCCGUUGAAACUGUCGGACUUGAGUGUAAAUGAGGUAGGCGGAAUGCGUGGUGUAGCGGUGAAAUGCAUAGAUAUCACGCAGAACUCCGAUUGCGAAGGCAGCUUACUAAGCUACAACUGACACUGAAGCACGAAAGCGUGGGGAUCAAACAGGAUUAGAAACCCUAGUAGUCC